GAAUUUAAAAGUUAAUUAAAAGGUUAAUUUUGAAAUGUUAAAUUCUAAAACCCUAGUAUUUUGAAAAGUUCAAAUCACACCCUUAUGGUUUGUUAAUUAAAGUGUAUAAUUAAAAGUGAUUUAAUAAACCCAUAAAGUUUUGGUUUAUAUUUAAUUAAAUUAAAAGCAUAAUUUUACUAAAUUAAACCACCUAGUGUUUUAAAAGUGUAAAAUACACCCUAUACUAUAUAUAACAUUAAAAGUCUAAUAUUAUAUAUAUGUAUGAGUAAACAGUCAGGUCCCGUUUGAUAGUUGCUGACUGAGAAAGGUCUGUCUGGGUAAGAAAUCCUGACUGAGUAAGAAACCAUGUUGUUUGAUUGUACGUCUGAAUGAAUGUGCUGAGUAAUAAAAAAUGACCAUUUUACCCUUUAAAUGUAAAUUACACACAAAUCUUUUAUAAAUUUAAAUUAAAAUAAAAGAAAUCAUUGUUUCUAUAAAGACAUAAAUAAAUUCAUUGUUUUUUAACAAUUCAAACAACUCAUGACCAGAUUCACAUUCAUCAAUCAAUUUUAAAGCAUUAAUAAUCAGCCGUUAAAGGAUUGGUAACAAGCCAUAACACUUGGAGCAAAAACAUCAAAUAUUAAAAGGAAAACAAAUGAAAAACUAAUAUGAAUACAAGCACAUAUAAUCUGAAUUAACAUUCAACCAUUCUCUUUUUCCAUUUUUAUUCCAAAAGGACCAUUCCAUGAGCACAAAACUUUGAAAAAUCUUGCAUUCCUUGAAAUUGAAAAGAAAAAGACCAAAUUGCCCUUUAGACAAAACUGUAUGACUCCAGCUCUAGUAAAAAAUAGAUCCUCUCAUCCAUAAAAACCUUCAAAUUCUUAUUCCCCUGUAACUUCAUUAUCCGAAAACUCUAACAGUUCAAAAAAUAAACUAAAAGAGUUACAAAAAGAUAAUUCAUCAGAUCAACCAUUAUCUUUUUCAAUGGGAAUUCCCUUUCUUAAACAAUUUGUUAUUUCACUCAUUCUUAAACAAUCACAAUUACAUUAAGUAUAAGUACCUCAUUAAUACAAGUAAUUACAUUACUAAAUACUAACGAAUUCAAAAAGUGAGAGUAGUUUCUAUACGUUGUUGGAGGCAUAGGAAUAGGAGGAGAACCCGAAUUCAAGGGACCAUAAAUCGGAAUGAUGCCCUGAGUGAAUUCCAAAGAAGAAGUUGAUGUGAGAAUGAAGCAUAACACCCAACGAUGCAAGUUUCUAUGUGCGAGAUUCGAGAGCCAAUGAUGCGAAAAUCAAAAAAUUCAAAGAAAUAAUCACAGAAAUCGAAACUAUUACAGAUGUAGAAAUCAAUGCUUGCUGGCCGACGAUGGCAGAAAUCUGAACUAUUAUGAGAUGAGGAAGGAGAAAUCGAUGCUUACCUAUUGAUGCGAGGAAAGAACUUCGAUUGGUGCUUGCUGGUUGCGAGAGAAGAAAGGAUUCGUUGAAAUGGAGGCAUUGCGUUAGGGAAAGGGUACCAGGGGAAACUUUUCUCCCUUUCUUCAGUCUGCUGAAUUUCUAUUCCUUUCCCGAUCAGACGCGUAUUUCUGAAUCAGAUGCAUAAAAAUUGUUUAUCAAACAAGUGUAGCUGACCGAGUCAGCCAAAAAGAUCUGAGCCGACUCGGUCAGACGAAUAUCAAACGGGACCUCAGUCUUACCGUUAGUAGGCCUCAUUCACGAAGCUGGUCUAUAAGGGGUGUUUAAGGAAAUUGCCUACAAAAUGGCGAUUGAAUGGGUAUCCACUCUUACCCACCGCACUCUUGACUAGUGGAGGGUCGUUAGCCGAACGGGUAGGAUAGGACAGAAACCUUCCAUUAUAAGUAUAAUGAAGUACAAAGUAACUAAAUGCUUUUACAAAUUCCCAAAUCAUAGUUACUUUAGGAAAAAUGUGAAAUUGUAUGCUAACCCAUGGAAUUACACUUCGUACCCUUGUCAAACAUUAGUGGAGCGUGUGUGGUUAACCGACACACUAAUUU
rnacentral:lncRNA from 1 species